rnacentral:rRNA from 1 species
CCCUUAGAUGUUCUGGGCUGCACGCGCGCUACACUGAUGCUUUCAUCGAGUAUAUAACCUUACCAGACAUGGUUGGGUAAUCUUUUGAAACAGCAUCGUGAUGGGGAUAGAUUAUUGUAAUUAUUAGUCUUCAACGAGGAGUUCCUAGUAAGCGCGAAUCAUCAGUUCGUGCUGAUUACGUCCCUGCCCUUUGUACACACCGCCCGUCGCUCCUACCGAUUGAGUAAUCCGGUGAAUAAUUCGGACCGAUUGCGAUGUCAGUUCCUGGCGCCGCAGACGGAAAGUCUAGUGAACCUUAUUACUUAGAGGAAGGAGAAGUCGUAACA